ACAAAUUAGGAUAUAACCUUUUUAGACCAGAAAAAGAUGGAUGUCCUAAUCUCUCUAGAUAAUCUCUUCAUUAGUACUCAUAGACUUUUCUAACAAAGCCUAGUUUGCUCCAAGACUUGAGAGACCACACUCAUCAUCUAGAAGAUACGGAGCAUCUCACAAUCUACCACUGUCAAUUGUUUUCCCUGUUCUCAAAUCCGAGUCACUCUUAGAAUAAA
rnacentral:misc_RNA from 1 species